CCUAGGUGACUCCAUUGGUGGAGCAUGUGACUCUUAAUCUCAGGAUUGUGAGUUUCAGCCCUACAUUGGGUG
rnacentral:tRNA from 1 species